rnacentral:rRNA from 1 species
CAGGGUUUGACAUCCCGGUGACCGGGGCAGAGAUGUCCUUUCCUUUCGGGGCACCGGUGACAGGUGGUGCAUGGUUGUCGUCAGCUCGUGUCGUGAGAUGUUGGGUUAAGUCCCGCAACGAGCGCAACCCUUAUUGUUAGUUGCUGCGCAAGAGCACUCUAGCGAGACUGCCGUUGACAAAACGGAGGAAGGUGGGGACGACGUCAAAUCAUCAUGCCCCUUAUAUCCUGGGCUACACACGUAAUACAAUGGCACUUAACAAAGGGAAGCAAUACCGCGAGGUGGAGCAAAUCCCCAAAAAGUGUCCCAGUUCGGACUGCAGUCUGCAACUCGACUGCACGAAGUCGGAAUUGCUAGUAAUCGCGGAUCAGCAUGCCGCGGUGAAUACGUUCCC